rnacentral:rRNA from 1 species
CCUACGGGUGGCAGCAGUGGGGAAUAUUGCACAAUGGGGGAAACCCUGAUGCAGCGACGCCGCGUGAGUGAAGAAGUCUUUCGGUAUGUAAAGCUCUGUCAGCAGGGAAGAAAAUGACGGUACUUGUCCAAGAAGCCCCGGCUAAAUACGUGCCAGCAGCCGCGGUAAUACGUAGGGGGCAAGCGUUAUCCGGAUUUACUGGGUGUAAAGGGAGCGUAGACGGUAGGGAAAGUCUGGAGUGAAAGGCGGGGGCUCAACCCCCGGACUGCUCUGGAAACUGCCAGGCUGGAGUGCAGGAGAGGUAAGUGGAAUUCCUGGUGUAGCGGUGAAAUGCGUAGAUAUUAGGAGGAACACCAGUGGCGAAGGCGGCUUACUGGACUGUAACUGACGUUGAGGCUCGAAAGCGUGGGGAGCAAACAGGAUUAGAUACCCCUGUAGUC